rnacentral:rRNA from 1 species
GACGAGGGGUCCUAGCGUUGUUCGGAAUCAUUGGGCGUAAAGAGCGCGCAGGCGGUCGUACAAGUCGCGUGUGAAAGCCCCCGGCUCAACUGGGGAGGGUCACGCGAUACUGUUCGACUCGAAGGCAGGAGAGGGAAGCGGAAUUCCCGGUGUAGUGGUGAAAUGCGUAGAUAUCGGGAGGAACACCAGUGGCGAAGGCGGCUCACUGGCCCGAUACUGACGCUGAGGCACGAAAGCGUGGGGAGCAAACAGG